rnacentral:rRNA from 1 species
AUUCAACGCUGGCGGCAGGCCUAACACAUGCAAUUCGAACGAGUGGCGGACGGGUGAGUAAUGUCUGGGAAACCCCCUGAUGGAGGGGGAUAACUACUGGAAACGGUAGCUAAUACCGCAUACCAUCAGAUGUGCCCAUAUGGGAUGUGCGUGUUGGUGGGUUAACGUCUCACCAAGGCGACGAUCCCUAGCUGGUCUGAGAGGAUGACCAGCCACACUGAAAAUGGGACACGGUCCAGACUACUACGGUAGGCAGCAGUUGGGAAUAUUGCACAAUGGGCUCAAGCCUGAUGCAUCCAUGCCGCGUUUAUGAAGAAGGCCUUCGGGUUGGAAAGUACUUUCAGCGUGGAGGCGUUACCCGGAGAAAAAGCACCGGCUGACUCCGUGCCAGCAGCCGCGGUAAUUC